rnacentral:rRNA from 1 species
GAGUUGAUAUGGCUCAGGAUGAACGCUAGCGACAGGCUUAACACAUGCAAGUCGAGGGGCAGCACGGGAGUAGCAAUACUUGGUGGCGACCGGCGCACGGGUGAGUAACGCGUAUGCAACCUACCUAUCGAGAGGGGAAUAACCCGGCGAAAGUCGGACUAAUACCGCAUAAAACAGGGGCACCGCAUGGUGAUAUUUGUUAAAGAAAUUCGCUGAUAGAUGGGCAUGCGUUCCAUUAGGUAGUUGGUGAGGUAACGGCUCACCAAGCCGACGAUGGAUAGGGGAACUGAGAGGUUGGUCCCCCACACUGGUACUGAGACACGGACCAGACUCCUACGGGAGGCAGCAGUGAGGAAUAUUGGUCAAUGGGCGGGAGCCUGAACCAGCCAAGUCGCGUGAAGGAAAGAAGGAUCUAUGGUUCGUAAACUUCUUUUGCAGGGGAAUAAAGUGCAGGACGUGUCCUGUUUUGUAUGUACCCUGAGAAUAAGGAUCGGCUAACUCCGUGCCAGCAGCUGC